GCGGACAUGACGUGUGGCUGUCGUAAAAACCCUAUUUGUAAACAACCAGCCCUUUAACUCGGGGCUGCGUCAUAAGCACGGCGCGCUUGGAAGACCACGAUGUCAUCUUCCUUCUGUCAGGAGGAUCCAAGUGAAGCUACAGGAGUUUCAUUAACGUCAACAACUUGGACCAAACAGUUUGUUUUGCUUGAUGAAGAGCAGGAAGGGCAGCCUGGAGAGAAAGAGAAGCCGGGUUGAGCCCACUACCAUCAUCCACGUACCACGAGGAAGAUGAGGGAGAGAAAUGAUCCUACCAUUAAAGAGACUGUGAAAAGAACGUUGAGAACAUCACCACUCUACAGGAAGACACAGUCCAGUAAUGGGUGUCAGAAGUUCAGUAGUGAACGACAGAAACAAACAAUCCAAAUUACCUGCAGAAAGCCCUUGAUGGACGCUUCAGCUGCAUCGUCAGACUGGCAGUACUGAUGCAUUUACUGAGACGGGACGUGAGGGCCUACUCUGCGUGCUCAGAGUUCAAGCCCAGCAGGCUGCAGCGGGCCUGACAUAUUCUGGAACAGCAGCACAGUCUUUGGAUGACUCCUCUGAAGAUGAAAACAUGGCGAGUUCUUCUCAAGAGAAGCAGUACAGGUGUGCCUCAGCUCCACGGUCCCUCCUGCAGCCUCCGCUCCUGAUGCUAACCUCAUGUCUCCAUCACACCAAGCAGCAGACCUGGAUUGACAGACCUUUCUCCAGAGCUGCCCCCUCCCUCUGAAACCCCCCUCUCCAAAACACUAUUUGUGUAGUUUUUAAAGUAUUUUUUGCAUGAGAAUUGUUGAUCAUAACAUUUCCAGCAGAUGCCUUAAUAUAAUGUUUGUGCACAAUAAAUGACAUUGAUC